rnacentral:lncRNA from 1 species
GACGGAAGGAAGCUGUAAGGUGAGAACACUGCAAAAGGAUAAGACGAGGACUCCCCAGGAGUAAGGUGGAGCCACGCCUCAGAGGGUCUGAGAAGGGGCUUCCCUGUUCCCCGCAGCCCAGGUUCCCUCGGAGGUGGGGCCAUCUCAACCACACCACGCCCACCACCCGACCACGCCUCCACGCCUGGCCACGCCCACCUGCCCGUUGAGGGGCGGGUCCUUUCCCGGCCAAUGGGGACCCUCAGUGCCUCCCUCCCGUCUGGACAGCUGGGGUGCACACUCAUCCGCCGACGCCCAGCUGCACUUGGGGAGCCCACCACAAGCAAAAGGGCGCCACCCCUGCCGUGCUGGAGCUCUCAGUUUAGCGGGAGAGAAACGGGACCGUGAGUGAGAAAUCGGAAUAUCCCCGGAUGAGACAGAGGGUGGAAUCCGGCGGAGGGGAGGGCAGGAGAGGGGAUGGGCUGAGCACCGCGGCUGCGGGACGCGGAGGAAGAGGAGAGGAGACCGGGAAUGUCCGGGGCACCGUGUCCAGCAGAGCGAACAGGCGGAGGUCCGAAGCCGGGAGCGGGCCCAGCUUGGCGGCGGCAGCGAGGCAAAAGGCUGAGGGCUCCCUUGCUCACCUAGGAUGGAAAUCACUAGAUUUCCCAGGCAGCCAGAGAAACCAGGAUUCCUCUUCCCUGGGGCAGAACACAGAACCCGCAGCUGUCACUCCAGCCUUCCCGCCUCCGUGCGAAUUCUUCACCCACCUUGUCUGAGAGUGGAACCUAAGAUCCUGACCCAAAGGCCCCGUCCACACUAGGAAGAAGGAAGGAGCCUGACCCAGAGGCCCAGGAGGAACCGAGCACACAGCUCACACCCUGGGUCCAGUCACAUUUCUGGAUGGCUGUCCAGGUCCUGUCAGAUCUGAGACUUAAUUUCCCCGGGGUCCCUGGUCGCAUGGAGGAAGCCUCCUGUAUUUCCUAAGACUCUGGCUCAGUAAACCUGUUCUGCUUUCCUCCCGUUAAUCUGUCUUAGUUACAAGAGUGUCAGCUGUGGCCCUUAGAACAGGGAGGAAGGGGCCACACUUUUCUACCCCUACUGUGCGUCAUUAAAGGCAAAAGUCCACACUACAUUCAGAUUUCCUUAGUAUCUGCCUAAUGUCCGUCACCUUGUUCCAGGAUUCACUCCAGGAGACAGCAGUGAGCUGUCCCGUCCCCCUGGGCUUUGCCGGGCUGAGACAGUGGCU